CCCAUCCGCCUCCUCCAUCAGAUCUGACUAUCGGCUCCUCUCUCUCCCCCUCUCCCCUCCCUCCUCCUUCAAAUCCGACUCCAAGCGGAUUCUAGGUCUAGGGUUUUCACUGUUCUCCCUCGAAGUUUGUUGUUCAUUCUCCCUCGAAGCUCGUCGUCCCUCGAAUCUCGUCGUCGACUUUGAGAUUCGUCGACUCCUCCCUUGAAUCUCGUCGUCGACUCCGAGAUUCGUCGACUCCUCCCUUGAAUCUCUUCGUCGACUCCUCCCUCGAAGAUCGUCAUCCCUUGAAGCUCGUCGUCCCUCUCGGAGAUCGUCGUUUACUCCUCCCUCGACUGUUCCCUCUCGAGUCAUCAAAAUGUAAGUUGAAGCUUAAAGUUACCAUUAUUCUUGAUUUUUAAUUUAUACUAAUUGCUAAAGAUUACUUGUUUAUGCCUUUUACAGAUAAUUUUGCACAACUUGAUAUCAAAACCAUGAAACUUGAUAAUUUUGCACAACUUGUUUAUGCCUUUUACAGAUAAUUUAACUAAACAAAGCAAAUUCGAAUUCUGAAUAUUACUCGAGUCAAAUUCGAACACGAAUACGAAUAGUGCUAUUUGAGCCGAAUUUGAAUUCGAAAUAAGGCACUAAUCGUUCAGAUUCGAUUCGUUUCCACCCCUACAUUCAAAUUCCUAUAACGCAUACCGUUGGAUCUAAUGGACGGUAUUGAUUGAAAUGAGGAAAUCGGAACGAUUAUACUCUAGGAGUCUCAGCAGCUGCCUGCAGCUUCAGGGAGGAUGGCUCUGUUCUUUGAUGAUGGAUGAUGUCGAUGGUGAUGAAAUCAAGUUCUCGGAUUGGGAGGUUUUGGAAAUAAUAAAAAGAGUGUAAUAGCCUUAUGAAUUGCUUCUUGAUGGCAUUGGCUGAGGCACAAGAACGGAAAAAAUUGCCUAUACAACAAGAGAAGAUACGAAGUUUCGAAAUCAAAGAAGAUUUAAUGAAGUCGCUGGAGAGCAUGGAAUCUGAAGGUGUUACAUUUAAAGAGUGUUUGAAUUGUAAAUAUUUUGUACCAUGCUAGAAAAAAUUGCCUAUACAACAAGAGAAGAUAUGAAGUUUCGAAAUCAAAGAAGAUUUAAUGAAGUCGCUGGAGAGAAUGGAAUCUGAAGGUGUUACAUUUAAAGAGUGUUUGAAUUGUAAAUAUUUUGUACCAUGCUAGGAUCAUUUUAUACCACGGAUAAUAUAGUUGACUUCCUCUGAUUAGAAGAACAAUUUUUUUUUCUUUUAUACCAUGCUAGGAUCAUUUUAUACCAUGGAUGCGAUCAAUUUUUAGUCUGACCAUAUGUACCUAGUCUUGGAGAUGUUCUAAACAGUAAAAGAUUAAAUGAGAUCUCUUGUCUUUUGGCUAA